GGGUGAGUAACGCGUAUGCAACCUACCCUUUACUGGUGAAUAGCCCGGGGAAACUCGGAUUAAUACACCAUAGUAUAAUCGAAAGGAGUCUUUUGAUUAUUAAAGUUUCGGUGGUAAAGGAUGGGCAUGCGUGCCAUUAGCAAGAUGGUGAGGUAACGGCUCACCAAAGCAAUGAUGGCUAGGGGUUCUUAAAGGAUUAACCCCCACACUGGUACUGAGACACGGACCAGACUCC
rnacentral:rRNA from 1 species